GCUCCAGUGGCCCAGCGGUUAGGGCAUCGCUAUCACACAGCGGGGAUCCCAGGUUCGAACCCUGGCUGGAGCA